GAACACAAAAUGGCGACACGUGGUUAGCAUUCGUCGCCAACGAGAAAUUGGGGUCGGCCCGAAAGCUCUAGAAUGCACCCCUCUUCCUCCCCGGGGCCUUCCACCUCCGCGAGUUUUAUGACUUAAAAAAGCCCACAGGCUGGUCUGAAGGUCGGAGGCCUAAUUUUAACGCGUUUUCCUCCCUUUAAUUUGAAACGGGAACGCGAAUGACUGUAAAAUGUGGGCACAAUAUUUAAUCUCUCGCCUUUUUAAAGCUUAAUAGUGGAUAAUAGGGGGGCAGUAUCAAGGGAUAAUUUGGGUCCCCACAGUACCAAAGCAUUUAGAAACCUCUGUUUAAUUUAAGGAAUGAGAUAAGUUACUGCUUUUCUAGACUUCCUAGCAUGGGCUGUUGUGCUGGAGAGAACGAGAGCUACGAAGAGACUACAGUGCCUCUGACUUUUUCAUAGGACAGUUGGCCGGUGAAUCUUAUUAAUAGUUUACCACAAUUAAGUGUUCAUUUUUAGUCUAGAAGGGACAGGCGUUUAUUGUGCAUUGGCCAGUGCCAGCACAUCCGAUGCAAGGCAGUUCACCGUAUUCUAUCUUUAAUUUUUACCAUGGUCCUCUGAGGUAGGUGUUCUUAUCUCUCUCUCUCUCUCUCUCUUUUAAACAGAGGAAGACAAACAUAAAGAUGAAGUGCUUAAUUCAAGGUCACACAAUGUCGGGGAUGGACCUCCAGAUUUCCUUACUGACCUGCAUUAUCUUGUGGAUACCUGAGUGAAUUCCACACCACCCAUUUUAUAGAUGAAACCACUGAGACAUGGAGCAAUUGACUGAGUAGUCACUGCCCCACCCCUGCCUGGAGCCUCACACAUGACUCGCCUCCUCUCAGUGACCACAGGUGAGACGUGGUCUUGUAACACAGUGGUUAAGAAUGUGACUUUGGAGCCAGCCUGCUAGGGGCUGAAUUCUGACUCAGCCAUUUACUAACUGUGUGACCUUAGGCUGGAGUGCAAUGGCAUGAUCUCGGCUCAUCACAACCUCUGCUUCCUGGGUUCAAGCGAUUCUCCUGCCUCAGCCUCCCGAGUACCUGGGACUACAGGCACUCGCCACCAUGCCCGGCUGAUUUUUGUAUUUUUAAUAGAGAUGGUUUCACUAUGUUGGCCAGGCUGGUCUCGAACUCCUGACCUUGUGAUCUGCCCACCUCAGCCUCGAAAAGUGCUGGGAUUACAGGCGUGAGCCACUGCGCCCAGCCUUGUAUUUUUUUUCAGUUUGGGUAGCUGUCCCUAAUUCAUUUGUUAAAGGAGAAGCAAGAGCAAGAACCUUUAAUCUGUUCUCCUCUUCCCUAAUUUGAAAGUAGCUUGUUAUUUUGAAUAUCACUUUCUCUGAAAUAGCACAUCUCCAUCUCAGAGAAUGGAUUUAAUGUUUGGAUACAGCCAAAAGUCAUUUCAUUACCAAACCAUGGGGUGAAUAUACCAUGUAAAGCAGUUUGGGAUCAGAACUCACAGUCUGAAUUGUAAGUGAUGAGACUGCUGUCUCUCUGCUACAGCUUCUUGGCUGGCUCUGAAGGCUCUUUGAAGGCAGAUCCUAACAAGGGGACUGCUUUGAAGGGCCAUUGUUCAUUUGGAAUGAUAAAGUCUAUGUUGUUCAAAAAA
rnacentral:lncRNA from 1 species